GAUGAAGAACGUAGCGAAAUGCGAUAACUAGUGUGAAUUGCAGAUUUCAGUGAAUCAUCGAGUCUUUGAACGCACAUUGCGCCCCCUGGUAUUCCUAGGGGCAUGCCUGUUCGAGCGUCAUUACAACCCUCAGGCCCCCGGGCCUGGCGUUGGGGAUCGGCGGAAGCCCCCUGUGGGCACACGCCGUCCCUCAAAUACAGUGGCGGUCCCGCCGCAGCUUCCAUUGCGUAGUAGCUAACACCUCGCAACUGGAGAGCGGCGCGGCCAUGCCGUAAAACACCCAACUUCUGAAUGUUGACCUCGAAUCAGGUAGGAAUACCCGCUGAACUUAAGCAUAUCAAUAAGCGGAGGA
rnacentral:misc_RNA from 1 species